AGGGUGAGGAAUACGUAAGGAGCU
rnacentral:siRNA from 1 species